CACGAUGCCCCAGGCCGCCUCCCCACCUCUGUGGCCCGUGAGCCUGCACAGAGGAAAGGGCAUCCUCUGGGCGAGGCACAGCCACCCGCCAGGGUCCUCCCUCUCACCACAUCCAGGACAGUGGACGCUGCUCCCUGCCUCUUCCUCACAGUCCUGGGGUCACAUCUCCACCCGCGCGGCUCUCAGGGGCCACCCCUCUCAGCCCCAUCCAGCUCCUGAGCAGCUUUGUCCCCCGAGGGCCCUGGGUCAUUCCUCUGACCAGCCAGGCACGGCGCACCCUGCAUGUGAGCCUGGGCGGGUGCUGGGGACAGACGAGUGACACAGCAGACACUGCCUCCCUGAAGGCAUCGCAAGGUGGGACGCUUGGCCUCCACCUGCAGGGGCCUCACCUGACCAGUCCCUAGCCUCAGGAGGGGGACCCCAGCAGCUGGAGCCCCAGAGGAGUUGGGAGGAUGGUGGCAUCUGUGUCCUGGGCUCCGGGGCCACCUCACUGUGAGGAGGGGGUGUGGGCGUUGGGGGAGGUCUCAUCUCGGGGCCAUGCUGAUCUUGGCUCUGAGAGCUGGUGUCCGCUGCUCCUCCCCUCCCAUUUCUCAACAGUAGGCCCCGAGUUCCUGAAGACGCCCCUGGGGGGCAGCUUCCUGGUGUACGAGUCCUUCCUCUACCGGCGGGAGAAGGCAGCCGGGGAGAAGGUGUAUUGGACCUGCCGGGACCAGGCCCGCAUGGGCUGCCGCAGCCGCGCCAUCACCCAGGGCCGGCGGGUCAUGGUCAUGCGCAGGCACUGCCACCCUCCGGACCUGGGCGGCCUGGAGGCCCUGCGGCAGCGGGAGCACUUCCCCAACCUGGCACAGUGGGACAGCCCAGAUCCUCUCCGGCCUCUGGAGUUCCUGAGGACUUCCCUGGGGGGCAGGUUCCUGGUGCACGAGUCCUUCCUCUACAGGAAGGAGAAGGCGGCUGGGGAGAAGGUGUACUGGAUGUGCCGGGACCAGGCUCGGCUGGGCUGCCGCAGCCGCGCCAUCACCCAGGGCCACCGCAUCAUGGUCAUGCGCAGCCACUGCCACCAGCCUGACCUGGCGGGCUUGGAGGCCUUGAGGCAACGGGAGCGGCUCCCCACCACGGCCCAGCAGGAGGACCCAGAAAAGAUUCAAGUUCAGCUGUGCUUCAAGACGUGUUCUCCUGAAAGCCAGCCGAUUUAUGGGGACAUCAAAGACGUCAGACUGGAUGGCGAGUCCCAGUGAGGCGAUGUGGGCAGAGGAGCUCUGAGCUGCCCACCCAAGGUGGCUGCACAUCCACACAGGCGCUUCCCAUCCACUUAGGUUUGGCUUGACAGAAACUUCUUUUCAUUCUUCCAAAGCAUCAAUGGUCUUUGCGUCUCCUCAGGAGGUCUCCCAGGAGGAAUUCUUGGAUGGUGUCCUCGUGUCGGCGGAGAACAGUGCUCAGAGCUGGCGCUUGCAGACGCAGCUGUCGUGGGGCAGCGCACUGGCGCCUUCCUGAACUUUGGAAGACGUGACAAAGCUGCCUGGACACGGACGCCCCUGCUGUCUGGCCACAGCACCCCUGGGUUUGCAGAGCACGCAGUCUUCCCAGGGCUUUCCACCUGGCGAGGCCCCGCUCUGCUCAGCACGGAGCAGUGAAUGCUGCUGUCUUGGAGCCUGGGCACGUUUGGGGAAGUUCCUGCUUCAAACUGAGCUGCCCCGCAUAGGCCAGGUCAAGCCACGCCAAUCUUUUCUGGAUAGGUGCUGGGUAGGCCUUCCUGGUCUCUGGCUGCCUGCUGCCAGGGUGCAGCCAUCCCCAGCAACCCGAGCUGGCCAAACCAGAGGCCUCGCUCCGCGCUCCACACUUUACUUUCUGUGCUCCUUCUGAGUUAAAUUAAACCCCCUCUCCAUGAUUCCCACGGCAGGCGUCAUUCCCCGAGAUGGGAGCCAGCCCAGGGGUCAGCAGGAGCCAGUGCUGGGCACACGUGCCCUGGCUGAGGCCAGCGGCAUCCUGGGUGGCCCAGGUCCAUCCUGGGCAGCAGAGGCGUGUCCCCUUCUGUCAGGCAACUUCACAGAGUGUGGCUUCGCCAGUCAGAGGGAGCAGUCCGGAGAGGCAAGAUGACCCCACCGGGACUGCAGAGCCUCCUGCUUACUAACAAGGACCUGUCCUCAGCCGUGAGGUCCUUCACUCCCACCCUGUAAUUGUGGGCAGAAUGCCAGCAACAGGGCUGUCCCCUGGCAAGGGGACACAGAGCCCACCAUCCACUGCAAGGCUGUGACAACCCGGGCAUCCCCGCUUCUCCUCUGCUUGUACGGUUCCCCCAAUAAAUCCUAUUUUCCAUCUC
rnacentral:sRNA from 1 species